rnacentral:tRNA from 1 species
UGGAACAUGGCGCAACUGGUUAGCGCACCCGUCUGAUAAGCGGGAGGUUGAUGGUUCAAAUCCAUCUGUUCCAA